rnacentral:rRNA from 1 species
GAUGAACGCUGGCGGCGUGCUUAACACAUGCAAGUCGAACGAACCUUCGGGUUAGUGGCGGACGGGUGAGUAACGCGUGAGAAUCUGCCCUCAGGAGGGGGAUAACGGUUGGAAACGGCCGCUAAUACCCCAUAUGCCGCGAGGUGAAAUGAAUUUCGCCUGAGGAUGAGCUCGCGUCUGAUUAGCUAGUUGGUGUAGGUAAUGGCUCACCAAGGCAUCGAUCAGUAGCUGGUCUGAGAGGAUGAUCAGCCACACUGGGACUGAGACACGGCCCAGACUCCUACGGGAGGCAGCAGUGGGGAAUUUUCCGCAAUGGGCGAAAGCCUGACGGAGCAACGCCGCGUGAGGGA